rnacentral:lncRNA from 1 species
UGGCCUGUGCUAUUAUCUUUUUGCUGUGGACUCCUCCCUGCAGACUGACAGGUUUCCUAAGACUGGUGGAUGAAGUUGAGAAGAAACUGUGUAAGAUGAAGGCAAGAUAUGCAAAGCAGAAACACAGAUGUGGACAGCGAAGGGUUCAGCGGUAGACAGUGAAGGGUUCAGUGGUGGACAGGAAGAAAGACAAGCAAGGCUGAAUGUCUAUGAUCUGACCUGACUUAGUUCACUGGCCUCCAAAAUGAUGUAGAAUCCAUGUCUGCAUUUUAAUCUUAAAAUAUUAUUUGGAUUUUAGUACUCUUGUAAUAAAACCAGCCACUAUCAAAACAAA